CGUCCCCUCACCUCUCAAAGCUGUUGAGGAAGAGCGCUCUGGUCUUUGAGAGGAGCAUCCCCGCGACCAUGGUUCCUGCUAUGAGACUGCUGGCCUUCUGCUUGCUGGCUGCUGCUUGGUAUUUCACUGCAUCAGAGGGAGAGGUCAUCUACUCCUGCCACAACGAAACUGCUGAACUGAAAUGUGAGGUGGGCAGCAAGAUCAAGCUGAACCACAUCCUGUACAAGGUAGGCGUGGGCACCCGGUGUGGGGAGGGCAAGCGCCACCCAGAGGACGGCCCCGGCUCCUACUGCACGUUCCCCUGGGCGGAGUUGGUGGUGGAGGACCUGUGUGGCGGUAAGAAGUCCUGUGAGGUCCCGGUCACCGAGCACGUGUUUGGAGAAUACCCCUGCAAGGAGCAGACCCGCUACCUAGAGGUCUCCUACGACUGCAGCCCACCCCCUGUCCCCCAGGAGCCUUGUCAAAUAGGCCUAUGGACAUCAUAGCUCGCCCGAGUAUGUUGAGCCCAAAAUACUGAUCAACCAUGAUGAAUCUUAAUCGCCCUUCACCUUCCUUCAUCAGUCAACAGAUUGGAUUUAGGAUUAUGUACAAAUUAUGAACUUUUAAAACGAAAACUGUUUAUAAAAGUGUAAAUCACUUUUCAUAGAAAAUGAUCUCUUCUGUCAAGUAAAGUUAAUGGUAAAUAAAAUAAAUGAUUGACAAAUGUGUGUGGGUGUCUUGUGUAUGUGUGUGUGUGUGUGUGUG
ensembl:lncRNA